rnacentral:rRNA from 1 species
UCCUACGGGGGGCAGCAGUGAGGAAUAUUGGUCAAUGGUCGGGAGACUGAACCAGCCAAGCCGCGUGAGGGAUGAAGGUACAGAGUAUCGUAAACCUCUUUUGUCAGGGAACAAAGGCGGGGACGUGUCCCCGGAUGAGUGUACCUGAAGAAAAAGCAUCGGCUAACUCCGUGCCAGCAGCCGCGGUAAUACGGAGGAUGCGAGCGUUAUCCGGAUUUAUUGGGUUUAAAGGGUGCGCAGGCGGGCUGUUAAGCCGGCGGUAAAAAUUCAGGGCUCAACCCUUU